rnacentral:rRNA from 1 species
ACGGGAGGCAGCAGUAGGGAAUAUUGCACAAUGGGGGAAACCCUGAUGCAGCAACGCCACGUGUGGGAAGACGCAUUUCGGUGUGUAAACCACUGUCGUGAGGGAAUAAGGCUACUUUUCGGAGUAGUUGAAUGUACCUCGAAAGGAAGCACCGGCAAACUUCGUGCCAGCAGCCGCGGUAAUACGUAGGGGGCAAGCGUUAUCCGGAUUUACUGGGUGUAAAGGGAGCGUAGACGGCAAAGCAAGUCUGAAGUGAAAUCCCGGGGCUCAACCCUGGAACUGCUUUGGAAACUGUUUAGCUAGAGUGCAGGAGAGGUAAGUGGAAUUCCUAGUGUAGCGGUGAAAUGCGUAGAUAUUAGGAGGAACACCAGUGGCGAAGGCGGCUUACUGGACUGUAACUGACGUUGAGGCUCGAAAGCGUGGGGAGCAAACAGGAUUAGAUACCCUGGUA